GACGAACGCUGGCGGCGUGCCUAAUACAUGCAAGUCGAACGCAGUGGGGACGGGUGAGUAACACGUGGGUAACCUCCCAUCAGAAGGGAUAACACUUGGAAACAGGUGCUAAACCGAUACUGAUGGAUGAACCCGCUGUGCAUUAGCUAGUUGGUGAGGUACCCGCUCACCAAGGCCAAGAUGCAUAGACUAUCUGAGAGGGUGAGCCGCUACACUGGGACUGAGACCCGGUCCAGACUCCGACGGGAGGCAGCAGGAGGGAAUCUUCGGCGAUGGACGAAAGUCGUACCGAGCUACGCCGCGUGAGUGAAGAAGGUUUUCGGAUCGUAAAACUCUGUUGUUAGAGAAGCGGUAUCUAACCAGAAAGCCACGGCUAACUCCGUGCCAGCAGCCGCGGUAAUAC
rnacentral:rRNA from 1 species